CCGAGUUUACAACUCCCAAACCCCUUGUGAACCUUACCACUAUCGUUGCCUUCGGCGGAUCAGCCCGCUCCCGGCCUUCAAACCGCCGGAACCAGGCACCCGCCAGAGGUAUCCCUAAACUCUUGUUUUAUAUAGUAAUCUUCUGAGUGCUAAAGCAUAAAUGAAAUCA
rnacentral:misc_RNA from 1 species